UACGGAGGAUGCAAGCGUUAUCCGGAAUGAUUGGGCGUAAAGCGUCCGCAGGUGGUUGCUCAAGUCUGCUGUCAAAGAGUCUGGCUCAACCAGAUAAAGGCAGUGGAAACUGAGAGACUAGAGUGCGGAAGGGGCUACUGGAAUUCUCGGUGUAGCGGUGAAAUGCGUAGAUAUCGAGAGGAACACCUGCGGCGAAGGCGGGUAGCUGGGCCGACACUGACGCUGAGGCGCGAAAGCCAGGGGAGCGAACGGG
rnacentral:rRNA from 1 species